CAGAGGUAACUUGCUACUUGCUGACGACCGGCGCACGGGUGCGUAACGCGUAUAAGAACCUACCUUUUACAGUGAGAAUAGCCCAGAGAAAUUUGGAUUAAUGCUCCAUAGUAUUAUUAGAAUGGCGGUCGCUUAAUAACUUGAAAGUUUGCGGCGAGUACACAAGACUGGCUACUGCGUUCGUAUAUAGCUAAUAUGGUACAGGUAACAGGCGUACCAAGGGUGACGAUAGAUAGGGGUCCUGAGAGGGAGAUCCCCCACACUGGUACUGAGACACGGACCAGACUCCUACGGGAGGCAGCAGUGAGGAAUAUUGGACCAUGGAGGCAACUCUGAUCCAGCCAUGCCGCGUGCAGGCAGACGGCCCUAUGGGUUGUAAACUGCUUUUAUACGGGAAGAAAACCAACUACGUGUAGUUGGCUGACGGUACCGUAAGAAUACGCACCGGCUAACUCCGUGCCAGCAGCCGCGGUAAUACCGAGGGUGCACGCGUUAUCCCAGGAAUCAUUGGGUUUAAAGGGUCCGUAUGCGGACUGAUAAGUCAGGGGUGAAAUCCAACAGCUUAACUGUUGAACUGACUUUGAUACUGUUAGUCUUGAAUUAUAUGGACGUCGAUAGACUGUGUAGUGUAGCGGUGAAAUGCUUAGAGAUUACCCAGAUACCGAUUGGAA
rnacentral:rRNA from 1 species